AAUGGGUCAGCGACUUAUAUUCUGUAGCAAGGUUAACCGAAUAGGGGAGCCGAAGGGAAACCGAGUCUUAACUGGGCGUUAAGUUGCAGGGUAUAGACCCGAAACCCGGUGAUCUAGCCAUGGGCAGGUUGAAGGUUGGGUAACACUAACUGGAGGACCGAACCGACUAAUGUUGAAAAAUUAGCGGAUGACUUGUGGCUGGGGGUGAAAGGCCAAUCAAACCGGGAGAUAGCUGGUUCUCCCCGAAAGCUAUUUAGGUAGCGCCUCGUGAAUUCAUCUCCGGGGGUAGAGCACUGUUUCGGCAAGGGGGUCAUCCCGACUUACCAACCCGAUGCAAACUGCGAAUACCGGAGAAUGUUAUCACGGGAGACACACGGCGGGUGCUAACGUCCGUCGUGAAGAGGGAAACAACCCAGACCGCCAGCUAAGGUCCCAAAGUCAUGGUUAAGUGGGAAACGAUGUGGGAAGGCCCAGACAGCCAGGAUGUUGGCUUAGAAGCAGCCAUCAUUUAAAGAAAGCGUAAUAGCUCACUGGUCGAGUCGGCCUGCGCGGAAGAUGUAACGGGGCUAAACCAUGCACCGAAGCUGCGGCAGCGACGCUUAU
rnacentral:rRNA from 1 species